rnacentral:siRNA from 1 species
UUUGUUCUUCUCUCUGUUAGGCC